AAAUGGUCUUUUCUGCCAGUAUGUUAAUUAAGUGCGGUGCCCUCUGAUGGAUUGAUUGAGAAAUGCUCAUUCCAAUGCACUGGA